rnacentral:rRNA from 1 species
CCAACAUGGCACGUCUCAGUCGCGGCGAGUGCAGCGGCAAAGCUCAAUUUGAAAUCUGGCGUCUUUGGCGUCCGAGUUGUAAUUUGAAGAACGUAUCUCUGGGCCCGGCUCUCGUCUAUGUUCCUUGGAACAGGACGUCACAGAGGGUGAGAAUCCCGUGCGAUGAGAUCACCCGGGACUGUGUAAAGUUCCUUCGACCAGUCCAGUUGUUUGGGAAUGCAACUUUGACUGUGUGGUAAAUUCCAUCUUAUGCUCAAUAUUGCCGAGUGACCGAUCGCGAACAAGUACAGUGAUGGAUAGAUGAAAAGAACUUUGAAAAGAGACCGAAAAAGUACGUGAAAUUGUUGAACGGGAAGGGCUUGAGAUCAGACUUGGUAUUUUGCAUGCUGCUCUCCGGGGGGCGGCCGCUCCGGUUUACCGGGCCAGCACCGGGUGGAGCGGCAGGAUAAUGGCCCAAGAAUGUGGCACGGCUUCUGCUGUGUGUUAUAGCCUCUGACGAACUGCCAGCCUAGACUGAGCACCGCCGUUUUUACCUACGAAGUUGGCAUAAUGAUCUUAAGUCGCCAGUCUUAAAAAAAAGAACCAAAAAGCCGAAAUCUUAAUACUUCACUCUUUGAUCCUUCGGGAGGAGGAGAUCCAAUUUUAUAUCAACAUCUGUUCUGAUUUUGGCAGACUGGUGGGGGGG